GUGUUCGGAUUGCGGCGACGUGGGCGGUUCGCUGCCCGCGACGUUGUGAGAAGUCCACUGAACCUUAUCAUUUAGAGGAAGGAGAAGUCGUAACAAGGUUUCCGUAGGUGAACCUGCGGAAGGAUCAUUGUCGAUGCCUCAACCAAUUCGACCCGCGAAUCUGUUCGAACACGCGGCGUUGGCUCGAGGUCGAAAGUCUCAGCCUCGCCCCGGCGAGGAGGGGGUCACGCCCGGCGCGGCUCGCUCCUGCCAAAACAAAACCCCGGCGCAUCGUGCGCCAAGGAACAUGAAAUUGUUAACGAUGCGCUCCUGGGCCCGGAGACGGUGUCCUCGCGAGCGUCGUCGUGACACAUUACACACAAAAUGACUCUCGGCAACGGAUAUCUCGGCUCUUGCAUCGAUGAAGAACGUAGCGAAAUGCGAUACUUGGUGUGAAUUGCAGAAUCCCGUGAACCAUCGAGUCUUUGAACGCAAGUUGCGCCCGAAGCCAUUAGGUCGAGGGCACGCCUGCCUGGGUGUCACAAAUCGUUGCCCGACGCCAACGCCCGACCCGGUCGGGCGCUGGCGGGGCGGAUGCUGACCUCCCACAAGCAUCGCCUUGCGGUUGGUUGAAAAACGAGUCCUACGCGGAGAGCCCCGUGAUAAAUGGUGGUUGAGUAACACUCGAGACCGUUCACGUGCGGCCUCCCCGCAGGCGCGACCCGCGCGUUCCGCGGAACGCUCAUAACGAGACCUCAGGUCAGACGGGGCUACCCGCUGAGUUUAAGCAUAUCAAUAAGCGGAGGAAAAGAAACUAACAAGGAUUCCCUUAGUAACGGCGAGCGACG
rnacentral:sRNA from 1 species